AAAGUCGUAGCAAGUGUGUGUGACCGUAGAACAUACAAGAGGUAACAGCAGGAACUGGCGAAGGAAGUUCAAUCAGAGACAUGCGACAGCUUCGGGGCACUGCAGGACGGACGCGAAUAAUAUUUACUGCCAUCAAAGGCUGAACACUCAGCCGCACUGACUAAAGGAGAAGACGACGCAAAGUAUGUUUGUAAAGUUCCUGAGGACUUCUCUUUGGAAUCAAGGCUUCUGCACACGUGAUUGCAAGUAUGAAAUGUUCCCUGAAAUGUAGUGAAAAAAAUUGGAGCGGUGUAAUGAGGAAUUGGAAGCCCUGUAAUGUGCUGUACAGGGAGAAGUAGACACAGGUACCAGGUAGUUUGAUCUGAGUGGCUGCUCUGCUGCCCUUGACCCUGGGCUUUCUUAGAUCUCGUGGGAAGAUGAAACAGACUCCCUUUGCCUCGGCUAUUGUUGACACAAAAGCAGGACAUCAAAGGAUCUUUGGAAAUCAAAUGAAAAGCAUAAUUUCAUCUGUGCGGGGCAAGGAGAGACCUUGCUGGCAGCCCAGCGAUGAAGAUCAAAGAGUGCCCUGUGUCUGAGCACAGUUGCACCAUCGCGUCCCGCUGCAGCGUGUCCUGAGAAGAAAAAGUGCGGGACUGUUAGCCGCCCUCGCUCCUGUGGGAAUAAGGCUGAAGUGCUCGGGACCCGUGGCCCAUGAGAUGCGGUGGGCAGCAGGGAAGGUUCGGAUUGUGCUGCACCAGGGUAACAGCACCCGCAUGACCUGCACAAGGUCGAGCCGAGGAGCGGCUGGGCAGGCGGACAGAGGGCGGAGCCAGGCUGAGCCAGAGGGAUCUGUUCUAUCAUUCCGGACAAUGUGACUCCACGCUGUGUCACUCUGCUCAGGGAUGUUGGCAAUCACUGCAUCCGAACAGCACUUCCAGAAGCCACCGCCACCAAACCACAGAGACAAAAUCUGUAUUUGCAUUUGUUAAUUUGCGUCAAAUCAAACUCAAUAUCUCCACAGUAUUUCACUGCGAGUUAUAUUCUAUGCUCUAACUGACUGGAACAUUACUGGGCAGGAAUAUAUUGUUCAACAGAAUUUAAAAUAUUAAGGAUGUGUGGUACACACUUGGGAAAGGAAA